GGGGAUUUAGCUCAGUGGUAGAGCACUUGCCUAGGAAGCGCAAGGCCCUGGGUUCAGUCCCCG
rnacentral:tRNA from 1 species